UACAGAGGUGGCAAGCGUUGUUCGGAUUUACUGGGUGUAAAGGGCACGUAGGCGGUUCGGAAAGUCGGAUGUGAAAUCCUAUGGCUUAACCAUAGAAUGGCAUCCGAUACUCCCGGGCUAGAGUGUGGGAGAGGAAGAUGGAGUUCCCGGUGUAAGGGUGAAAUCUGUAGAUAUCGGGAGGAACACCAGUGGCGAAGGCGAUCUUCUGGCCCAUUACUGACGCUCAGUGUGCGAAAGCAGGGGGAGCAAACGGGAUUAGAUACCCGUGUAGU
rnacentral:rRNA from 1 species